AACGAACGUUGGCGGCGUGGAUUAGGCAUGCAAGUCGAACGCGAAUCCCUGGGCAACUGGGGAGGAGAGUGGCGAAAGGGGCAGUAAGGCGUGGGUAACCUACCCUCCGGGCCGGGAUAGCUUCGGGAAACUGAAGGUAAUACCGGGCGACGCAGCGAGAUCGCAUGGUCUUGCUGCCAAAGGUCCGCCGCCGGGGGAGGGGCCCACGUGGUAUUAGCUAGACGGCGGGGUAACGGCCCACCGUGGCAAAGAUGCCUAGCAGGUGUGAGAGCACGACCUGCGCCACUGGCACUGAGACACUGGCCAGACACCUACGGGUGGCUGCAGUGGAGGAUCUUCGGCAAUGGGCGCAAGCCUGACCGAGCGACGCCGCGUGUGCGAUGAAGGCCUUCGGGUUGUAAAGCACUGUCGAGGGGGAGGAAGCCGCAAGGUUGACCUAUCCCUGGAGGAAGCACGGGCUAAGUUCGUG
rnacentral:rRNA from 1 species